GCUGGCGACCGGCGCACGGGUGAGUAACACGUAUCCAACCUGCCGAUGACUCGGGGAUAGCCUUUCGAAAGAAAGAUUAAUACCCGAUGGCAUAGUUCUUCCGCAUGGUAGAACUAUUAAAGAAUUUCGGUUAUUGAUGGGGAUGCGUUCCAUUAGGCAGUUGGUGGGGUAACGGCCCACCAAACCUUCGAUGGAUAGGGGUUCUGAGAGGAAGGUCCCCCACAUUGGAACUGAGACACGGUCCAAACUCCUACGGGAGGCAGCAUG
rnacentral:rRNA from 1 species